AUGAGAUUCAGAGGCAGGACAUUGCAGCGGAACAAAUUCAAAGAGGAAUUAAGGCCCACAUUUUUAGCAAGUGAGUUGGCUGAAAUGACCUCUGCCAGUUUCCAACCCAGUCCACCCGUUGACUGAGUGAGGUGGAAUGUAGGAGGACAAUGGAGAGUUAGACAGUGAGGUGGGGAAAUGCCCUGAAUGAAUGGAGCCUUACAGACAACUUCCUCUGCUGAUGAGUAUCCCAUCCGCCUUCUGAUUGGGCUGCAGAUAUGAAAGACCCUGAAAGGAAUGCCAGCAGGGAUUUCCCAGAGGCCUGCUGUUGGGGUGAGACUAUUCCGUAUCCUGUCCCCGGGUGAGAAUCACCAGUAAUAAGAGACUUCUGUUCUUCUCCUGUUAUACAGAUUUCACAGAUUUUAUGGAACCCUAGCUCAUCUAGUCUGACCUCCUGUAUGACCGUGGCCUGAGAAUUUCACCAAGUAACGCCUUUAACGGGCCCAAUAACUUAUGUCUGGCUGAAAAAUCUUCCAGAAAGACAACCCAUUCUAGAUCUGAAGCCAUCCAGAAUCCACCAGUUCCCUUGGCAGUUUCACAGAAUCAUAGGACUGUAAAGGACCUCGAGAGGUCAUCUAGUCCAGUCCCCUGUGGCCGGACUAAGUAUUAUCGAGACCAUCCCUUAACUAGUUUGCUCCAGUGUUUAACUACCCUUAAAAUGUGAGUCUUAUUUCUAACUGGAAUUUGCCUGAUUUUUAUAUUCCAGCCAGCGGUUCUUAUGUGCCAUGAGAUUAAAAAAGCCUUUGGUAUCAGAUGGUAGAAAGUUGCCGACAACCAGAUUCAAACUUACAGUAUAUGACUACGGGUCAGCUUUAAUAGAAACGGAUCAUCAUCUUGGGCCACCUACUUUGAAAAAAAUAUAUAUUCUAGGGUCCCAAAUUUAGGUGAUACCUGAGAAACAAUAAUAACAACAACUGACCGGACUAGAUACAAUAGGAGUGGAACCUGAGUGCUCAAGAACUAAACGCAUGAGCGCCUCCAGCUUGAGCUAAAAGGUCAGACAUUUGUGAGUGGGGUUCGUAAUAGUUUAUGUCCUCUAUGGCUCAGCAGGAGAGGCACUUGUAACACAAGCUUAUGUUAGUUCCCGCUAACCCUGCGUUCUUCACUAUUAUGGAGGGAUAGAAGUCACGCCAUAGCUAAGCUUGUAACUAGAGCCGGUCGCAAAAAUUUAGAUGCAAGAGUUUUCCAUUGUUUUGUGGGAAUGUGCCGAGUUUGAUGGCGUUUUCAACAGGAAAAUGUUUCAUUUCGAUAAGGACGAAAUGUUUCUUUCCCGCUUUGUAUGCAGCGUUGUUUGUGGCCAUGUUGGCCCCAGGAUGUUAGAGAGACAAGGUGGAUGAGGAAUUAGCUUUUGUUGGACUGACUCAACUUCAGUAAAAGUUUACCUCACCCACCUUGCCUCUCAUUUCAGCCCUCGCAUUAUGAUUCAUUUUGUUUAAAUGUAAGUAUAAUAUUCAUAUAUCAGAUUAAAUAUAUCUACAAUAUUUUAAUAUAGUAAUGAAAUAUAAAAGUCAAAACAAACUGAAUCAAAAAAAUAAAGUCAAAAUGAAAUGUUUUUACCUGAUCAAAGUGAUUUAAUGUUUUUAAUCAAAAUAUUUCAAUCGUCCUGAAUCUAACUUUUUUCACACUUUUUAUUUCAGAAGACAUUUUUGAAAUAUUGGCUUUUCAUUCCAAUUCAGCAGAAAAAAUUCCAAGAUGCUGGAAUUUCAGGAAUUCCAGUUCCCGACAAGCUCUGCUUACAAUUGUCAUUCCAAUAGAAACCUGAUUUUUGUGCGCCAUCAACAAUCCUUAUUUCUAGUUUAAAUUUGUCAAGCUUGUUUCAGCCAUUGGUUUCUUGUUCUAUCUCCCUCAGCUAGAUUAAAGAGUCCUUUAGUUCUUGGUAUUAGAAAGUCAUUACGAGUAGGACUCAAACUCAUCGCAUAUGGUAGCUGUGUAGGUUUGACAGCUACUCAUUGAGCCAACCACUUUCUCUAGAGAGCAUUUAUUUGUUCUAGUGUCCCGGUUUUAGGCAGACCCUGAGAAAUAAUAAUUUUACUGAGCUCCUCCGAACCCUGGAUCUUUUCAGUAUCAUGGAGAAAUGAGAGUCAAUCCAUAGCUAAGCUUGCAACCGAGAUUCUACCUGAUUUUCACCCCCACAUCCAGUCACAAUGGCCUCAAAAUGGGUAGGUUGGGUCUGGGUCCAAGGUAGAAUAGUUCUACCAAGUUUGAAAGUAAUCUGACAUGGGGUUCUUGGGUUAGGACUCUCCCAGACCAGUGGGCUUAAAUUAUUGUAAUUUAUUUAUUGGGCAGUCACUAUUUGACAAUAAAUGCCUGCAUCCCGAUAUGGCCCCUUUGCAGUGAUCUAGCAUCGCAAAGGGUAUAAAACUGCCUUGACUGGGGAAAUAAGGAUUCGCUCACCUUGGGUGAAUCAGAUGGUCUAGAACUAGAAGAGCUGCCCUAUUCCACUCCCUCACACCCUCUGCACCCUUGUGUAGGGGGCAUAUGGGAGCAUGGCCAGGGGAGGGAGCCUGGCUGGAAUUCCGCUGCUCUCAGGUGAUCUCUGGCUGGGAUAACCGCCCCUUUGGAAGAUUGGAGUUGCGCAAACUUACUCCACCGGUUGAUGCAGCCUCCUGCAGCCCCGGAUGCAAGGACAAAGAGUGCCAAGGUGGCAUCUGCUGCCUGCCAGCCAGUUGGGUCCUGCAGCUUGAGCCAAGUGGAAAGAUGGCCCCAUGGCCAAAGUGUUGGGUUACAACUCAGGAGAUCCAAGUGCCAGCUCUUCUUCUCCCACAGGUGUCCUGGGUACCCUUGCUCAAAUCGCGUCGUCUCUCCAUGCUUCACCUCCCCAUCUGUGAAAUAGGUGUUAUAAUCCUUCCUCUGUCUACCUUAAAUAGUAAAUUCUUCAGGGCAGGGACUGUCUCUCCCUGUGUGUCUGUGCAGCAACUUGUACAACAGGACCUCCCAGUGCUAUUGUAACUAUAACGCUCCUCGGGGUGGGCCCUUCACUUCCAUUCUAGUUUUUCUGAGUAUUUUGUUAUUGUUUUCCCCAACUCCUGGAGUCAUGUGAUUACGGACGUGAACAUGCCCCUCUGAGACCAAUGGGAGUUUUGCCAUUGACUUCACUGCGAGUUGGAUCUAUUGAGAAUCUCAGGUUUGUUUCGUUUCAACGUAGGUGUUCAGGGCUCACCUGAGCCCAGCACCCCACAGAGCGGGUUCGCCACGGGUUUAUGGAAAAACGAAUUAAUCAUGAACUGCAAAUAGCCACCUGGACAUUAUAGUCCAGAACAUAAUAGCCUUUCUCAGAGGUUCAAGGCAAAUACUGUCAAAGUUAUGGCCCUGACCGGCCAGGUUACUGGGAUUAGGGCAGGGAGAGCCAGCCUUCCCCAUCUUGGUUUCUACCUGGAUUAGCCCUUCCUAGAAGCAAAUAGCCCUUUAGAGCCAGCCUGCUGGGCCCUUAUUGGCCUCCCCCUGCUCCCAGACCCUCUAGGUACUGGAGGACCAACUCUUGCUGGUUCUGCCCGCGGCUGAUCAUGGAGACAUCUCCAGGCACACACCGGAGCUCUCAGCUUGCAGCAUUUCCCUUCCAGCAGGACUCCUUCAGAGCGCAAGGUGUGCCCAGCCGGUGGGUCCUCAGGUAGGCGCAGCAAACACCUGGUGCGUCCUGUCACUGUAAAUUUCUACCCUUCGCGUUUGCCCAGAAAGGCUUGAAGAUGUGAUUCAAAGGCAGAGCGCAGGGCGGGUUCUUAAAUAACCGAUUCCAGGCCUUCCAAUACCGAUUUUCUUAGAGCUUAAUAACAGAGCAGAGCUUUUCAAGGAGUCUUUGGUCUCCAAAGCCACUUUCCAAAGUCCAGCUUGUUCCCAUAAAUUUGUGGCUAAGGCCAGGUCUACAGGGGAAACUUGCCAGUGUAGCCGUGUCGCUUAGGGGUAUGAUUUUCUGUGAUCUUUCUAUACUGGCAAAAGCCCUAGUGUAGAUGCUGUUGUCCCGCCAUCAACGUGCUUUUGCUGGGAGAGCUUUUUUCUCUUGGGGAACUGGUGUAAGCUCUGCUGGCAAAUGCCCACUUUGCCGGGAUAAACGACAUCUCCACUUGGAAGGUGUGACUCUCCGUGCCCCCAAAGCAGCAUCCUAGCACCCCCCUAUUCACCACUGUCAUAUGACUCUGCGACGGUUUGUGCAAAGUGUGCCUUGGGAGGUAUCAUUUAAGAAGUCUUCAUCUGUUGAACAUUAAUGUCCGGUUGGGCUGUAUGUUAGGACUCUCAUUGUGCGUGAAGUUAUGAAAUAUUGCUAUACGUGUUACUGAACUAUCUUGGGAGACGCCACAGCCAGCCUUUCAGUUGUGACAAAGGCGCAACCACCUAGUCAGACAGGUGUUGACAGCCGAUCAAGAAGAAUUCACUCUCCCGAGGCUCCUUAGGGAGGGCACAUACCCGAGGUGGAUUGCCUGACCCCCAUGUCACAGCAAGGAUCUUUCUAGCAGCUAGACGAAAGUAUAAAAGCGGGAGAGUAACGUCAUCACUUGCCUCCCCCAACCCUGCCCCGUCUCAACACCUGGAAGAUCAUCUGGAAGAGAGAGACUUUGAACCAGGGAGAUUGGUCCCAGGCUGGAAGGGAGUUCAGUCUGAGUGUUGAGAUCAUAGGUGCUUUCUAAUUUUACUGGGGGUGCUUGACCCCCACUCUGCCCCAGGCCCGACCCCCACUCUACCCCUUCACUCAAGGCCCCACCCUGCCCUGCCUCUCUCUGCCUCAAUACACCCCUCCCCUAAGUGUGCCCCACCCUUGCUCUGCCAUAUCCCCCACCCGGCGCCUCCUGCAUGCCUCUGAACAGCUGAUCAGUGGCGGGCGGGAAGUGCUGGGAGGGAGGGCUCCAGCCCCAGAGAACCCACUGAGUCAGCGCCUAUAAACUGUAAGCUGCCUAUGAGCCUAUCAGCAUCUAUCAGGGUGAGAGACUGUUUGAUUCAAAUCUUGCUUAGUCUGUGAAAGUUAGAAUUUAGACUGCGAUUUUAUGUCUAUUUCAUAUGUAACCAACUCUUAUCUCUCUGCCUGCUACUUAUCAUCACUUAAAAUCUAUCCUUCCGUAGUUAAUAAAUCUGUCCUACAUGUUACCUAAAACAGUGUGUUUUGGGUUGAAGUGCUUGGGGGAAUCUCAGCCCAGGUUAACAAGGGCGCUUGCACGUCCACUACCUUUUUGUCAGUGGUGAAGUAACUAACCAACUUGCCCUGUCCAAGGGAACCUUGAGCAGUGUAAGAUGGUAUAUUUCUGAGGUGCAGGGCUGGGGUGAUU